rnacentral:rRNA from 1 species
GACGAACGCUGGCGGCGUGCUUAACACAUGCAAGUCGAACGGAAAGGCCCUGCUUUUGUGGGGUGCUCGAGUGGCGAACGGGUGAGUAACACGUGAGUAACCUGCCCUUGACUUUGGGAUAACUUCAGGAAACUGGGGCUAAUACCGGAUAGGAGCUCCUGCUGCAUGGUGGGGGUUGGAGAGUUUCGGCGGUUGGGGAUGGACUCGCGGCUUAUCAGCUUGUUGGUGGGGUAGUGGCUUACCAAGGCUUUGACGGGUAGCCGGCCUGAGAGGGUGACCGGCCACAUUGGGACUGAGAUACGGCCCAGACUCCUACGGGAGGCAGCAGUGGGGAAUAUUGCACAAUGGGCGGAAGCCUGAUGCAGCAACGCCGCGUGCGGGAUGACGGCCUUCGGGUUGUAAACCGCUUUCGCCUGUGACGAAGCGUGAGUGACGGUAAUGGGUAAAGAAGCACCGGCUAACUACGUGCCAGCAGCCGCGGUGAUACGUAGGGUGCGAGCGUUGUCCGGAUUUAUUGGGCGUAAAGGGCUCGUAGGUGGUUGAUCGCGUCGGAAGUGUAAUCUUGGGACUUAACCCUGAGCGUGCUUUCGAUACGGGUUGACUUGAGGAAGGUAGGGGAGAAUGGAAUUCCUGGUGGAGCGGUGGAAUGCGCAAAUAUCAGGAGGAACACCAGUGGCGAAGGCGGUUCUCUGGGCCUUUCCUGACGCUGAGGAGCGAAAGCGUGGGGAGCGAACAGGCUUAGAUACCCUGGUAGUCCACGCUGUAAACGGUGGGUACUAGGUGUGGGGUCCAUUCCACGGGUUCCGUGCCGUAGCUAACGCUUUAAGUACCCCGCCUGGGGAGUACGGCCGCAAGGCUAAAACUCAAAGGAAUUGACGGGGCCCCGCACAAGCGGCGGAGCAUGCGGAUUAAUUCGAUGCAACGCGUAGAACCUUACCUGGGCUUGACAUAUAGAGGAUCGCUACAGAGAUGUGGUUUCCCUUGUGGCUUCUAUACAGGUGGUGCAUGGUUGUCGUCAGCUCGUGUCGUGAGAUGUUGGGUUAAGUCCCGCAACGAGCGCAACCCUUGUCUUAUGUUGCCAGCACGUUAUGGUGGGGACUCGUGAGAGACUGCCGGGGUCAACUCGGAGGAAGGUGGGGAUGACGUCAAAUCAUCAUGCCCCUUAUGUCCAGGGCUUCACACAUGCUACAAUGGCCGGUACAGAGGGCUGCGAUGCCGUGAGGCGGAGCGAAUCUCUUAAAGCCGGUCUCAGUUCGGAUUGGGGUCUGCAACUCGACCCCAUGAAGUCGGAGUCGCUAGUAAUCGCAGAUCAGCAACGCUGCGGUGAAUACGUUCCCGGGCCU